CAUGGACUCCAUUUCGGAUUUCAUGGCUUCAAGUCAUUUCUCGAAAUCAGAUCUCUACAUUGAAGGAGGGAAAAACUGCUUUUCCUUGUAGAAUCUUCUAGAUUUCAUCAAAUCUGGGGUAGAAUAAAUUUAAAAAUUUUUAGAGGAGGAGGUCAGAUGAACCAACUUAUCAUGAUCCUCCCACUGGCUUCACCAAGUCAGUUUAAGGGAGACCAUUAAAAGGACUGGUCUAGGA
rnacentral:lncRNA from 1 species